CGAAAGCCUGACGGAGCAACGCCGCGUGUGGGAAGAAGGCUCUUGGGCUGUCAACCACUUUUCUCAGGGAAGAAGACCUGACGGUACCUGAGGAAUCAGCCUCGGCUAACUCCGUGCCAGCAGCCGCGGUAAUACGGAGGAGGCAAGCGUUAUCCGGAAUUAUUGGGCGUAAAGCGUCCGCAGGGGGUCUUCCAAGUCUGCUGUCAAAGGUCGGAGCUCAACUCCGGUUCGGCAGUGGAAACUGGUGGGCUAGAGGGCGACAGGGGUAGAGGGAAUUCCCAGUGUAGCGGUGAAAUGCGUAGAGAUUGGGAAGAACACCGGUGGCGAAAGCGCUCUACUGGGUCGCACCUGACCCUCAGGGACGAAAGCUAAGGUAGCG
rnacentral:rRNA from 1 species